UUCCCCCUAAAGACAAGUUUCAGACUCAGGGCUACCCUUCCCUGACGCUUUGAUCAACCAUAUCCAUUUCUCUGAGUGUACGAUUUUACUUGGGAAUUUUUUUCACGUUUAAGGGUUAAUUUUUUUGACUAAACUGAACCAAGAAGAACAGAAAACAGACUGAUGUUGGAGCGCCCUCUGCUGUUUGAUGGAAGGUGGCCACGACUGGUGUGAGUUCCUGAGAGUGAGGCCCCAUCACACGUCCCAAAGGCAACAUUUCAGAGCAUCUCUCCUCAUCUUCCAGCGCCCACAUGCUUUAUCUCCGCACCGUCUACGGCUGACAGGAAAAAGAAGCCAGAAGAGGACAUCAGAUCUCAUUACAGAUGGUUGUGAGCCACCACGUGAUUGCUGGGAAUUGAACUCAGGACCUCUGGAAGAACAGUCAGUGCUCUUAACCGCUGAGCCAUCUCUCCAGCCCUUCAAACACAUUUCAACAUCGAAUGUUGAACGUGCAGAGCAGUGUCUUCUAGGACAAGUUAGAAGAACCGAAGGCAGGAGAAUCAGAAGAAAGGCAUGAAAAGAGCGCAGGACUGUAAGUGAUGAUUAAACCAUGUCAGAUGUCAUUUGGGUUCUGUGCUGCCUUAUGUGCACUGUGCAGUGGCCUUAAGUUGCAAUGUAAACAUGUAUUUUCUUAUUGGUUCCAUCCAGAAUGUUUUGAAGUUAAUAGUCAAUAUGUCGUCAAUAAACCCAUAAGCA